rnacentral:lncRNA from 1 species
AGAUUCUUGCUGUUGAAGAAGAAGAUUGGAGUGAAGAACAAUGGAGCUUGGAAUGAAAGGGAAGAAACAGUUAUGAAUUCCAAUUUAUAGUGAAGUCUGCCCCCUGAAAAGGAAGGUACGUAUUGUUAUAUAGACAAAGCUGUAAGCGAAUCUGUCAUAUCAAAAAUGGGGAAGCCUUGUUAGAGUUUGGGCAGGGUUGAAUUUAACUGAAAUUGAAGAGGAGAUUUGUCACAGUUAUCACUUUGUUAUAAUUCUAUUAUAAAGUUCUUCUUGAGCACUAACAAUUUCAGUUAAAAAUGGAAUGUUAGUUAUGAGAUUGUUAUUUUCUGUUAGAAGGUUGUGAAUAGUUGAGAUGUUAGUUGGAUGGCAGUUAGGUUAGUUGUUAUGGACUUGGAUUCGGUUAGUUACUAAACUCAUAGUUCGGUUAGGAUUGAAAGAAGCAAAGGUUGAGUUAGUUGGUACUGUAAAAUGCAAACGGUUAGUGAGUUGGUUGUGAAACUCAAAUGAGCGAAAACAAAUAUUGGUUUGAAUUCUUCCAGUAAGAUUUAGUUAUUGCUCUAUUGUAAAAAUUUGUUAGUUUACUAAUUACCCGUUCCAAUUUGUUCGACAAUCCGUGGGUGUAUUUGAUUGAGUUUCUUGCUGUUUCAAUGUUAGAUUGGUAUGCUACUGUUAGGAUGAUGUUGUUGUUUGGUGUUUGUUAUUAAUUUCAUAGCAGUUAUGCAGGUUGAUGCAGUUGGGAAUUAGGCCGCCAAGCACAUCCUGCAGCAUACUGUCAUGCUGGUGUAUUGCAGCAGCUAUUUCCUUGCUGGCUUGCGUCGAGUGCAGGAAGUUACAAGGUUAGGAAAUGUGUAUUUAGUAAAUGAUAGAUGCUAUGUACUUUCUGAUUAAUGUCAAGUACUUUUCUGCUUCCAUUAGAUGUGGGUAAUUAUGUUUUGAAAUGUUCAUGGAUGGACUGUUAUGCAUUGCUAUCAAUGAUGUUGAUGCUGGUUAUUUGGUAAAAGUCGAGUUUUUUUGCCAUUAGAAGUGAGUGAAUUUUAGUCUUUCUGCAACCCUACUGUUAUAUUACUAGUUAGAGAUGGUUGUUGCAAUUGAGAUCAAACUCUUGUUAUUUUCUUUUGGUUAUUGACAUGGUGUUAGUUAUUUAUGUGGUUAGAGAAAAUUCUGCAACUUUAGCAAUGUUAAUUAUUUGGGAAAAAUGGUUUGUUAAUGAAGUUUCGAUUUAUGAGAUUCAAUUUAAAUGCAAAUGAGUUGUGAAUGAAAUAUUGAUGAAAUUUCUGUUUGGAUUGCAGCUUAUUCAAUUGGAGAAUUUAAACUCAAAUCGGUUAGCGGUUGAGGUUUGUGAGCUGGUUCAAUUAACUUCAGUAUGCACCGUUUCUUUUGGUUCAGCUUUGUGGAUUGUUGCUCAGAAGGGA